GGGAUACAGCUCAGUGGCACAGCACCUGCCUGGCAAGCAUGAGAUCCUGAGUUCGAUUCCCAGUACCGCCC
rnacentral:tRNA from 1 species